rnacentral:lncRNA from 1 species
ACUCACAAUGACAGUAAUCACAUCUAUUUAACAGAAAGUAGCAAAAAUACGUCGACACACUUCUUCUCCUCGCAGCUUCAUGACGGACCGCAAAAAGUUGGACAGCACUCUCACAGCUUGCAGGUAUCGAUUAGGAACACUGACAGAUCUGAAUUCAAGCUGAAUGUUUGGUUCUGUGUUAACAAGUUUCAUGGAAAAGACCCCUGCAUCAUCUUGAAGGUUGGAGGUAAAGACAUUUACACCAAACUUUUUGUUUGCUUUACUAACAUAAAGUUUUUCCCCCCCAAUGUAACUCCUGAUGUCUUCUGUUGCAUCUAUUCUUAUCUCCAGAUGAGCCAUGGUUCAGUGAGGUACGCUGCUCCAAGAAGAAGAACUUUGUCUGUGCCAAGAAUAUGUGAUUAUCUCCAGCUGCUGUUUGCGUCAGUGUGGAUGUAAAGCAUGAAAGCACAGACGUUUCACCAAACACCAGCUGUCGAGUUAAAAAUCAUCUGGCCAGUCAUUUUCAUAGAAAGAGUAUAGAGUAAUUUACAGUGGGAGCAAUAAUUAUUUGAUCCCUUGCUGAUUUUGUAGGUUUGCCCACUUACAAAGAAUGAAACUGUUACAAUGACAAUGAUGCAAAUAAAAUUUUAGCUUUAUUUUUCACAAAGUCAUACAGGUGGUCAUUCUCUUUAUGAAAUAAAAGUCAAAAGACCAGACAGUCAGUGAUAUUGAACACCUGCACAGAAUGAUGCUCCAGCAAAGGAGGAAGAUAUUUUCCAUUAAGAUAUACUCCUAAUCUCAACUCAUUAUCCAAAACACCUGUGUCAACUCGUUACAUCGUUAUGUAGCUGUAUAAAAGACACCUGUUCCUUGCCCCCGUCGCCAAGUGCUUGCUCAUGGUUGUUCUGUUGGGUCUCUGAAAAUAAUGUUUGUAAUGAUAGUAGUCAGUUACUCUGUUAAUUUAAGUCUGCUGACGUCUCUAUAACACUUGAAUCUUUGUGUUAUUGUAUUUAUAAGCUGAUAUGAAGUUGACCAAAGACGCCUCAGUGUCUUUUCCAACAUACUGACACACACACACACACACACACACACACACACACACACACACACACUGUGUCUGCUGCAGUGAUGUUGACGUACUGUAUUAGGCUGAGCAAUUAAUUCCCCCUUUAUAGAAUUUGGAGCUAAUGUUUGAAUUUGUUCUGUAAACUGAUAAUAUAUAAAUAAAGUGUUUAAAAAAGGACAACAUGAGCUUCAUGAGUUUUUAUUUUUUUAUUAUAUAAGUUGUUCAGUCACUUUGAGUUAAUGUUAGGCUGCAGCACAUUUGUUACUGAGGUCAUUAUUUGUCUGUUCACAGGGGCCCCAUGAAGAGAUAUUACAUAGAACCUAAUCGACCCAUUCAAAGCUUUAAAUAACUCAUGUUUAUGUUUAUGUCACAAAUAACUAUAUUUUACAGUCUUUACAGUCAGAUUUUUAAACUUUACAUUAACUUCUUUAGUUAAAAUAAAUGUUCACUCAUCAUUCAAUGUUACAAACUGUCUGACGUCCACUGCAGACUGAAGGAUGUUUCUGUUUUCUGUUUCAUAUAAUGAUCAUUAUGUAUAAAAUGGAUUACACUGAUUGAUACAGAGUCUCUCUGGAUGUUGCUGCAAAGAAGAAAAGCAAAAUAAACUGUUGUAUUAGUAUAUUGUGAAUAAAAUGUACUUAAUGUGCUAAUAUUGAUACAUCUUAAGCUAAAGCUAAGCUAAAUAAAAAGCUCAGAAACUUAAAGUUAAAUGUAAACAUUUGUAAAAUAUCCUCCAGUGUCACAAUGAUUUCCUCCGCUCUUCUUUUCUGCCACCUUCUGGUCAUUUUGGUCUCUACAGUUCCGUCAUGAGGAACGUUUUCCUCAACUGCGUUUUGCUUCUUUGGGAUCUUUAUUCAUUCUUCUGGUUCCUUAUUAUAUCUGUGUUCAAACAGAAACAGGAAAGUGUUACAGUUGUUGUGUUCAUGUGUUUUUGUCUAAUCAAUGAAUGAGUGUUAAGGGGACACUUCACCCAUUUGCAUUAAGCUUUGUAUCAUUAGAACUGCAGUCAUAUUUUGACUGGUCGUGCAUCAUUCCCUCACUUCCCGGAGAGGGAGAAAUACAGAUUUUAGUGUUGCACUUCCUGCUUUC